rnacentral:rRNA from 1 species
GUAGUCUGCAACUCGACUACAUGAAGCUGGAAUCGCUAGUAAUUGCGGAUCAGAAUGCCGCGGUGAAUACGUUCCCGGGUCUUGUACACACCGCCCGUCACACCAUGGGAGUCGGAAAUGCCCGAAGUCUGUGACCUAACCGAGAGGGAGGAGCAGCCGAAGGCAGGUCUGAUGACUGGGGUGAAGUCGUAACAAGGUACC